rfam:Desulfitobacterium hafniense Y51 DNA, complete genome.
AUAAUGCUACUUCCGUCCAGCCACAGCCCUGCCGCAAGCAGGAUCAGGCAAUGGGGGCGGCUUCCAGAGAUCCUGGGAGAGGUGAAAUUCCUAUGA